CGAUGCAUUCUAUACAUGCAGUCGACGAACUCUGGUAUUGAUUGGUGCUUGCAUCAUGAUUUACAUUUGAGUGAGUGGCGAACUGGUGAGUAACACGUGGGAAACCUGCCCAGAAGCGGGGGAUAACACCUGGAAACAGAUGCUAAUACCGCAUAACAACUUGGACCGCAUGGUCCGAGCUUGAAAGAUGGCUUCGGCUAUCACUUUUGGAUGGUCCCGCGGCGUAUUAGCUAGAUGGUGGGGUAACGGCUCACCAUGGCAAUGAUACGUAGCCGACCUGAGAGGGUAAUCGGCCACAUUGGGACUGAGACACGGCCCAAACUCCUACGGGAGGCAGCAGUAGGGAAUCUUCCACAAUGGACGAAAGUCUGAUGGAGCAACGCCGCGUGAGUGAAGAAGGGUUUCGGCUCGUAAAACUCUGUUGUUAAAGAAGAACAUAUCUGAGAGUAACUGUUCAGGUAUUGACGGUAUUUAACCAGAAAGCCACGGCUAACUACGUGCCAGCAGCCGCGGUAAUACGUAGGUGGCAAGCGUUGUCCGGAUUUAUUGGGCGUAAAGCGAGCGCAGGCGGUUUUUUAAGUCUGAUGUGAAAGCCUUCGGCUCAACCGAAGAAGUGCAUCGGAAACUGGGAAACUUGAGUGCAGAAGAGGACAGUGGAACUCCAUGUGUAGCGGUGAAAUGCGUAGAUAUAUGGAAGAACACCAGUGGCGAAGGCGGCUGUCUGGUCUGUAACUGACGCUGAGGCUCGAAAGUAUGGGUAGCAAACAGGAUUAGAUACCCUGGUAGUCCAUACCGUAAACGAUGAAUGCUAAGUGUUGGAGGGUUUCCGCCCUUCAGUGCUGCAGCUAACGCAUUAAGCAUUCCGCCUGGGGAGUACGGCCGCAAGGCUGAAACUCAAAGGAAUUGACGGGGGCCCGCACAAGCGGUGGAGCAUGUGGUUUAAUUCGAAGCUACGCGAAGAACCUUACCAGGUCUUGACAUACUAUGCAAAUCUAAGAGAUUAGACGUUCCCUUCGGGGACAUGGAUACAGGUGGUGCAUGGUUGUCGUCAGCUCGUGUCGUGAGAUGUUGGGUUAAGUCCCGCAACGAGCGCAACCCUUAUUAUCAGUUGCCAGCAUUAAGUUGGGCACUCUGGUGAGACUGCCGGUGACAAACCGGAGGAAGGUGGGGAUGACGUCAAAUCAUCAUGCCCCUUAUGACCUGGGCUACACACGUGCUACAAUGGAUGGUACAACGAGUUGCGAACUCGCGAGAGUAAGCUAAUCUCUUAAAGCCAUUCUCAGUUCGGAUUGUAGGCUGCAACUCGCCUACAUGAAGUCGGAAUCGCUAGUAAUCGCGGAUCAGCAUGCCGCGGUGAAUACGUUCCCGGGCCUUGUACACACCGCCCGUCACACCAUGAGAGUUUGUAACACCCAAAGUCGGUGGGGUAACCUUUUAGGAACCAGCCGCCUAAGGUGGGACAGAUGAUUAGGGUGAAGUCGAUCUAGAGUC
rnacentral:rRNA from 2 species